GGCAAGGUGACCGAGCGGUCCAAGGUGUGUGACUCAAGCGAAAGCUUGCCCUUUGGGGUGAAAAUUCUCAUCUGGUUAAUCCAGGCGUGGGUUCAAAUCCCACCCUUGUCA